UUAUCCUCCCCCUCUAUCCACCCGGCUCUCCUCUCUCACAAUCUCCCGUCGCCCUCUCCAUCAGCCCCCGAGGCCCCGAGGAGUCGACGGCCCCCUCCGUCGGCCCCUCGCAAUCCAGGCGCGGUGGGCGCAGCGGCCUCGGACGUCCAGGCGCGGCAGCCCCACGGGCGUCCAGGCGCGGCGUCCUCGCGGGCGGCCAGGCGCCGCCUCCCUCGCGGCCAGGUCCAGGAGGCUCCCGCGUGCGGAGACCAGGACCUUCACUGCGUCACCAUGCCAGUGCCUCCCCGCCAGGAGGUGCAUUAGCAUCCCCUAAUCACUAUAUAGCUUCGCCCCUGAUCUGAAGCACACUGGAUGAAGAUGCAAAAGCGGUCGCAAUGUCCCAGCCAUGGUACUUGCGGCGUUUUAGCACGAGAUGCAAGGCCAGUGCUGCAAGGGAUUCAGAAGAGAUUGACCUUCAUAUGAUAUCAGAAAUUGACUUUUUCCCAGUAUAAGACAUCAAUUUACUUGGAUUUGUAAUGUCUCCAUCUCUGUUUUUUUUCAUAUGAUAUAAACUUGAAAUGGCAUGUAAGAGAAAAGGCCAGAUAUACUUCAUUCCAUUAAGAGGCAAAUGAGUCUUUUUCAUGGCCAUUUAA